rnacentral:rRNA from 1 species
GGGCCCGCACAAGCGGUGGAGCAUGUGGUUCAAUUCGACGCAACGCGAAGAACCUUACCUGGGCUCGAAGCGCAGUGGAAUCCGGUGGAAACAUCGGCGCCCUCACGGGCCGCUGCGGAGGUGCUGCAUGGCUGUCGUCAGCUCGUGUCGUGAGAUGUUGGGUUAAGUCCCGCAACGAGCGCAACCCUUAUCCCUAGUUGCCAGCGAGUAAAGUCGGGCACUCUAGUGAAACCGCCCCGGAUAACGGGGAGGAAGGUGGGGAUGACGUCAAGUCCUCAUGGCCUUUAUGUCCAGGGCUACACACGUGCUACAAUGGUCGGUACAAACCGUCGCAAACCUGCAAAGGGGAGCUAAUCGGAAAAAGCCGGCCUCAGUUCGGAUUGGAGUCUGCAACCCGACUCCAUGAAGCUGGAAUCGCUAGUAAUCGCGGAUCAGAACGCCGCGGUGAAUACGUUCCCGGGCCUU